AGAGUUUGAUCAUGGCUCAGGAUGAACGCUGGCGGCGUGCCUAACACAUGCAAGUCGAACGGCUCUAGCAAUAGGGUAGUGGCGCACGGGUGAGGAACACGUAGCUGACCUGCCCCAGACAGCGGGAUAACGGCGCGAAAGCGCUGCUAAUACCGCAUACCCUCACGAGGACUAGCAGCUCGUGAGUAAAGCUCCGGCGGUUUGGGAGGGGGCUGCGGCCCAUCAGCUCGUUGGUGAGGUAACGGCUCACCAAGGCAACGACGGGUAGGGGACCUGAGAGGGUGACCCCCCACACUGGGACUGAGACACGGCCCAGACUCCUACGGGAGGCAGCAGUGAGGAAUAUUGCUCAAUGGGCGCAAGCCUGAAGCAGCGACGCCGCGUGGGUGAAGAAGGUCUUCGGAUCGUAAAACCCUUUUGUCGGGGACGAGACAGGACGGUACCCGAUGAAUAAGUGUCGGCUAACUACGUGCCAGCAGCCGCGGUAAUUC
rnacentral:rRNA from 1 species